UACGUAGGGUGCAAGCGUUGUCCGGAAUUAUUGGGCGUAAAGAGCUCGUAGGCGGUUUGUCGCGUCGGCUGUGAAAACUUGGGGCUCAACCCCAAGCCUGCAGUCGAUACGGGCAGACUAGAGUGUGGUAGGGGAGACUGGAAUUCCCGGUGUAGCGGUGAAAUGCGCAGAUAUCAGGAGGAACACCGGUGGCGAAGGCGGGUCUCUGGGCCAUAACUGACGCUGAGGAGCGAAAGCGUGGGGAGCGAACAGGAUUAGAA
rnacentral:rRNA from 1 species